AAAGCUUCAACAUCAACGACACAGACUCACAGAUUAUCCAAAAAAAUGUAGGGUUAAAUUAAAGAACGAACACCUUCGAAUUGUCUUCCGGUAAACUUCUGGCCAAACUCAGUAUUCCGGCAAGGUUCCGAGGUUGUAGAAGUUCCGACAGUCUCCAAACUCGAAGUAAUCGCAGGAGAUGGUUGUGCCUUGCUUCCCCUCGCCUAGCCGUGUGGUGCGCGCAUAAGAUCAUAUAUACCCGUUAUCAUUGUUAUGACAUCUAUCCCCUUCUUUUAUUUAAGUAUUUAGAUUAUAAGAGUUUGAAGUGUGACGUGAACGUAAAAGCAUAUAAUACGGAUAUUGUAAUUGUUACUUAAUGAAGUAGGUAUAUAUGAAAUUUAAUGUGUUUUGAAUGGGUAUAAAUUAUUUA